UACGUAGGGGGCGAGCGUUGUCCGGAUUUAUUGGGCGUAAAGAGCUCGUAGGCGGUUUGUCGCGUCUGCUGUGAAAACCCGAGGCUCAACCUCCAGCCUGCAGUGGGUACGGGCAGACUAGAGUGCGGUAGGGGAGAUUGGAAUUCCUGGUGUAGCGGUGGAAUGCGCAGAUAUCAGGAGGAACACCGAUGGCGAAGGCAGAUCUCUGGGCCGUAACUGGACGCUGAGGAGCGAAAGCAUGGGGAGCGAACAGG
rnacentral:rRNA from 1 species